AAUGGAACAAGAAAAUAAGUUAUAAAAAGUAAAAAAUAAAGAUGCUAGUUUAACAGUAUGAUUCCUGUAAAAGAAUAAACAAAUCAACAAGACGGAAAGAGACAGAAAAGGAGAACAUGGAGUAGCUACAGAUGAAGAGACAGGAAUGAAGUAGCCACAUUCCAUGGAAUUCCAACAGCUGCUAGAAACUGGAAAAGAACAAGAUUUGCUGUGCCCAAGUACAGUUUCCAGCUCCAAUGAUUUUGAACUUGACCAUACAACUUGCACUGACCAGUAGGAUAAGUAGAAUUGACAGUUAGCCCACUAUAAGCAAAGCCUCCAUAAAACACAAGGCAUGACAAUACAUGGCUAUAGUCCCAUCCACUUUUGGAGGCUGACACUGGAGCAUCUCCUGGGCCCAUUAAUCUGAGGUACUUUGGGCAAUAUGUUGAGACAUGAUCUAAAAAAAUAAAAAUAAAACAAGAAGACACUGCCUUCUUAUAGUCUCUGUUCUUGGGAUCUUGUCCUAUGGGAUGAAAAUAACUUGCUCCAUAUAGAGGAUAUUCCUUUAACCUGGAUUCUGUCAUGAGAUGAUAUAUAAAGCAGACCUGCACUUAACUGAGAGCCUGGAGUUAAACCUAUCUGAGGCCACAUGAGUCAGGCAAAGCUGCAAUGAACCCACAGAAUUCAGAGGAAGAUACAUCCAUAUGGAAAAGACCAUUUCAUUCUGACAUUGUUUGUCAUGAAGUAUGAGGGCAGAAAACAUUAAUUAAUAUAUUGGAAAACAAAUACUUUAAGAAGUAUUAUACCAGUUCUCCAAAGCCUGAAACAAGAUAAAGAUGCUACUAUAACCAUUACCACUGAUAUAAUACUGAGCUGUUAGGUAAUAAUAUUAAAGACUGCUAGAGGAAUAAAAAUUUUUAAAAGUUUUACAGGUAACAUGAUUUUAUAUCUGACAACACAAGAGAAUCAGUGGAAAAAUACUAUAAUAAAAGAGAGGAUAUAGUA